rnacentral:rRNA from 1 species
UACAGAGGGUGCUAGCGUUGUUCGGAAUCAUUGGGCGUAAAGGGCGUGUAGGCGGUUUGUUAAGUCAUGUGUGAAAUCCCUCGGCUCAACCGGGGAAGGACGCAUGAAACUGGCAAGCUAGAGUACCAAAGAGGGGGGUGGAAUUCCCGGUGUAGCGGUGAAAUGCGCAGAUAUCAGGAGGAACACCGGUGGCGAAGGCGGGUCUCUGGGCCGAUACUGACGCUGAGGAGCGAAAGCGUGGGGAGCGAACAGG